rnacentral:rRNA from 1 species
UAACACGUGGGUAACCUGCCUGUAAGACUGGGAUAACUCCGGGAAACCGGGGCUAAUACCGGAUGGUUGUUUGAACCGCAUGGUUCAAACAUAAAAGGUGGCUUCGGCUACCACUUACAGAUGGACCCGCGGCGCAUUAGCUAGUUGGUGAGGUAACGGCUCACCAAGGCGACGAUGCGUAGCCGACCUGAGAGGGUGAUCGGCCACACUGGGACUGAGACACGGCCCAGACUCCUACGGGAGGCAGCAGUAGGGAAUCUUCCGCAAUGGACGAAAGUCUGACGGAGCAACGCCGCGUGAGUGAUGAAGGUUUUCGGAUCGUAAAGCUCUGUUGUUAGGGAAGAACAAGUACCGUUCGAAUAGGGCGGUACCUUGACGGUACCUAACCAGAAAGCCACGGCUAACUACGUGCCAGCAGCCGCGGUAAUACGUAGGUGGCAAGCGUUGUCCGGAAUUAUUGGGCGUAAAGGGCUCGCAGGCGGUUUCUUAAGUCUGAUGUGAAAGCCCCCGGCUCAACCGGGGAGGGUCAUUGGAAACUGGGGAACUUGAGUGCAGAAGAGGAGAGUGGAAUUCCACGUGUAGCGGUGAAAUGCGUAGAGAUGUGGAGGAACACCAGUGGCGAAGGCGACUCUCUGGUCUGUAACUGACGCUGAGGAGCGAAAGCGUGGGGAGCGAACAGGAUUAGAUACCCUGGUAGUCCACGCCGUAAACGAUGAGUGCUAAGUGUUAGGGGGUUUCCGCCCCUUAGUGCUGCAGCUAACGCAUUAAGCACUCCGCCUGGGGAGUACGGUCGCAAGACUGAAACUCAAAGGAAUUGACGGGGGCCCGCACAAGCGGUGGAGCAUGUGGUUUAAUUUGAAGCAACGCGAAGAACCUUACCAGGUCUUGACAUCCUUUGACAAUCCUAGAGAUAGGACGUCCCCUUCGGGGGCAGAGUGACAGGUGGUGCAUGGUUGUCGUCAGCUCGUGUCGUGAGAUGUUGGGUUAAGUCCCGCAACGAGCGCAACCCUUGAUCUUAGUUGCCAGCAUUCAGUUGGGCACUCUAAGGUGACUGCCGGUGACAAACCGGAGGAAGGUGGGGAUGACGUCAAAUCAUCAUGCCCCUUAUGACCUGGGCUACACACGUGCUACAAUGGACAGAACAAAGGGCAGCGAAACCGCGAGGUUAAGCCAAUCCCACAAAUCUGUUCUCAGUUCGGAUCGCAGUCUGCAACUCGACUGC